rnacentral:rRNA from 1 species
CCCAGACUCCUACGGGAGGCAGCAGUGGGGGAUAUUGCACAAUGGGGGGAACCCUGAUGCAGCGACGCCGCGUGGGUGAAGGAGCGUUUCGGCGCGUAAAGCCCUCUCGGCAGGGAAGAAGGAGGACGGUACCUGACUAAGAAGCCCCGGCUAACUACGUGCCAGCAGCCGCGGUAAUACGUAGGGGGCAAGCGUUAUCCGGAUUUACUGGGUGUAAAGGGGGCGCAGACGGCAGCGCAAGCCAGGAGUGAAAGCCCGGGGCCCAACCCCGGGACUGCUCUUGGAACUGCGCGGCUGGAGUGCAGGAGGGGCAGGCGGAAUUCCUGGUGUAGCGGUGAAAUGCGUAGAUAUCAGGAGGAACACCGGUGGCGAAGGCGGCCUGCUGGACUGCGACUGACGUUGAGGCCCGAAAGCGUGGGGAGCAAACAGGAUUAGAUACCCCUGUAAG